CUACCUGGUUGAUCCUGC
rnacentral:rRNA from 138 species